UCCCUUUCUUACACUCACUCAUUCCUCCGCAGGUUUUCACCGAGACCUACAAAGAGCAGUCACCGACCGUGCCCAGACACCUUGCGAUCCAGACCCCAAGAGAGGGAUCUUGGAUCUUGCUCAAGAAAGAAUUCAGGGCGAGUCUGCGGUGCAAAGGAAAAGCAAGUUUAUUUAGAAAGUCAAGUGGUGAAAGAACAGCUACUCCAUAGACAGAAUAGGGCAUUCCCAAAAGUAAGAGGAGGAAUGCAUCCACCCUAGGUACAGUGCUUGUAUAUAUAUAGGAUAAAAAAAGAUCAUGGGGAGAUGUGCUCUGCUACAGGGUUUGUGAUAAAGGAUUCUUUUUUAAAAUUACCAAAUUUUGCAAGAAUCAAUAUUAUUAUCUUUGAAGCAAAAUUAGGAAUGCCUUUGUUCUCGAGAUAUCGGGAUAUCUGGACACUCCGAAGUUUGGGUUUGUUAGUAAACAUUAUUAAUCCAUUUCCUUAACUGUAAACAUCUAGAGGCUGGGAAUAGCCUUCUGGGAAUGCAAGUCCCAACUUCAUUUUCCUAGCCCUCACUCAAGAUGGAGUCGCUCUGGUUCAAAUGCCUGUGAUACCACCUCUCCAGGCUCCCGGGAUGUUUAAACAAGCCACUCCCAGAGAGGCGAUAUGAAAGGUGCAGGGCAGGCCCUGAGCCCUGGCCACAGGCGAUGCUUAAGCUGAGCCCUGAAAGGAGGAGUAGGAGUUCAGCAGGCAAGUUGUUAGAAGACUCGCAUUUCAAGCAGAAGGUCUGGAAAGACGUGCUGACUGAUCGGCAGGAGGCUGUGAGCUGUGGAUGAUACGGAGACUGCAGAAGCUGAGGCCAUGGAGCUAAGGCGGGCUCAGACUUCCUCCUGAGGGCAACAGGUUUUUAGCUGGGGAGGACCAUGACCAAAUCUGCCUUUCCCAGUCACCUCUCUGAUCUCUUUGAUGCAGUGUAGAUCUGUGCUUAGCAAACUCAGAAGGCCCUGUCACCACCAGGAAGGAAGAGACCCCACGACUGAGGGCAGUGGGCUAUGAGAUUUGUGACCCUUUCCUCUGCCUGCCUCUGCCCCUGCCCAUUGGGACCCUGCUGGACCAGGCAUCCAUCCUAUGGAAAUCUCCAUGAAGCGUCGACCUCCCUGCCCCCCAGGCAUUGGACAGGGGCCAGGAAAUGGAAUGAAAGCAGCCACUGUCUGAAGAGCUGGAGACCAUCAUCUGCCUCUGGAAGCCCAGAGAACCUCGGCUCAGACAGAAGGACAGAGACUGAGGGAAGGGAGAGAGACUGUGACAGAGAAGCAGAGGAGGGUGACAGAGUCAGGGAGGAACAAAACAGCCUGCAGUGGGAGCAGAGACAGAAAUGUGGGGGACCCACAGGGAGGGGAGGGAGGGAAGGGGAGGGACGGAGGGAGGGACAACUGCCGUCCAAGUGGCUGUGAGAGCCUGGGGCUGGGGAGAGGCACCCUCCUCCUGUUGGCUUCUCAUACAGUCUCUAUCAGGGGACCCAGGACACAAGAAGCAAAUUCAUCUUUGGGUCCACCCUUCAGCUCUAGAAGUCUAGGGCCUGGCCAGGUCCUCUGAAGGGGUCUCUGGCCCCAGGCAGCUUCCUGCCCCCCUGCGUGGCCCCCCAAGCCCUUCUCAAGAGCCCUUCAGUAAAUAAAUUCACUGGAAGACAUCA
rnacentral:lncRNA from 1 species